CAGUCGCCGCGGGAAUACAGAGGGUGCGAGCGUUAAUCGGAUUUACUGGGCGUAAAGCGUGCGUAGGCGGCUUUUUAAGUCGGAUGUGAAAUCCCUGAGCUUAACUUAGGAAUUGCAUUCGAUACUGGGAAGCUAGAGUAUGGGAGAGGAUGGUAGAAUUCCAUGUGUAGCGGUGAAAUGCGUAGAGAUCUGGAGGAAUACCGAUGGCGAAGGCAGCCAUCUGGCCUAAUACUGACGCUGAGGUACGAAAGCGUGGGGAGCAAACAGGAUUAGAUACCCCAGUAGUCCCUGUCUCUUAUAU
rnacentral:rRNA from 1 species